AGGCAACCUGCCCUCAAGUUUGGGACAACUACCGGAAACGGUAGCUAAUACCGAAUAAUUGUUUUCUUCGCCUGAAGAGAACUGGAAAGACGGAGCAAUCUGUCACUUGGGGAUGGGCCUGCGGCGCAUUAGCUAGUUGGUGAGGUAACGGCUCACCAAGGCGACGAUGCGUAGCCGACCUGAGAGGGUGAUCGGCCACACUGGGACUGAGACACGGCCCAGACUCCUACGGGAGGCAGCAGUAGGGAAUCUUCCGCAAUGGGCGAAAGCCUGACGGAGCAAUGCCGCGUGAGUGAUGAAGGUUUUCGGAUCGUAAAGCUCUGUUGCCAGGGAAGAACGCUUGGGAGAGUAACUGCUCUCAAGGUGACGGUACCUGAGAAGAAAGCCCCGGCUAACUACGUGCCAGCAGCCGCGGUAAUACGUAGGGGGCAAGCGUUGUCCGGAAUUAUUGGGCGUAAAGCGCGCGCAGGCGGUCAUUUAAGUCUGGUGUUUAAUCCCGGGGCUCAACCCCGGAUCGCACUGGAAACUGGAUGACUUGAGUGCAGAAGAGGAGAGUGGAAUUCCACGU
rnacentral:rRNA from 1 species